rnacentral:rRNA from 1 species
UACAGAGGGUGCGAGCGUUGUCCGGAAUCACUGGGCGUAAAGGGCGCGUAGGCGGCUUGGUAAGUAGGGGGUGAAAUCUUGCGGCUCAACUGCAAGGCUGCCUCCUAAACUGUCAGGCUUGAGCACAGUAGAGGCAGGUGGAAUUCCCGGUGUAGCGGUGGAAUGCGUAGAGAUCGGGAAGAACAUCGGUGGCGAAGGCGGCCUGCUGGGCUGUUGCUGACGCUGAGGCGCGACAGCGUGGGGAGGCAAACAGG